CUGAUGCCAUGCAUCCCAUUAACCAGAGAGAGACAGAGAGCGCCUGUCACAGAAAAAAAUGGCGGAGCAUUGUUCCGAUGCAUUCCCGCAGUACUACACCCCAUCACUGACCAUAUCUCAGGAUCAGAAGGGGAGACAUUUGGUCGGAUACUGAAUUGGCGACACUAAUCUUGGGUGCCCAUCUUCUGAUGUGUGAAGAUGAGUGGUACUUCUCCCCUUGCCGCCGCCUUCAUCCUGACCACUGCCGCCGGACCUCCGCCACCUGAUGGGUAGAGAGCUCUGA